rnacentral:rRNA from 1 species
AGAGCGAACGCUGGCGGCAGGCCUAACACAUGCAAGUCGAGCGCCCGUAGCAAUACGGGAGCGGCAGACGGGAUAGUAACACGUGGGAACGCGCCCUUCGGUUCGGGAUAACCCCGGGAAACCGGAGCUAAUACCGGAUACCCCCACCGGGUCGCAUGGCCUGGUGAGGAAAUGGAUUCCGCUUUGAGAGGGGCUCGCGGCCUAUCAGCUUGAUGGUGGGGUAAUGGCCUACCAUGGCACCGACGGGUAGCUGGUCUGAGAGGACGAUCAGCCACACUGGGACUGAGACACGGCCCAGACUCCUACGGGAGGCAGCAGUGGGGAAUCUUGCGCAAUGGGCGAAAGCCUGACGCAGCAACGCCGCGUGUGGGACGAAGGCCUUCUGGGUUGUAAACCACUUUCAGCAGGGACGAUUGUGACGGUACCUGCAGAGAAGCCCGGCCAACUACGCGCCAGCAGCCGC